rnacentral:rRNA from 1 species
GACGAACGCUGGCGGCGUGCUUAACACAUGCAAGUCGAACGGAGCGAAUGAAAGCUUGCUUUUAUAAGCUUAGUGGCAAACGGGUGAGUAACACGUAGACAACCUGCCGACAGGAUGGGGACAACAUUCCGAAAGGAAUGCUAAUACCGAAUGAAGUGCAGGGGAGGCAUCUCCCCUGCAUGAAAGAUGGCCUCUAUAUAUAAGCUAUCACCUGUUGAUGGGUCUGCGUCUGAUUAGCUGGUAGGUGAGGUAACGGCUCACCUAGGCGACGAUCAGUAGCCGGUCUGAGAGGAUGAACGGCCACAUUGGGACUGAGACACGGCCCAGACUCCUACGGGAGGCAGCAGUGGGGAAUCUUCCGCAAUGGGCGCAAGCCUGACGGAGCAACGCCGCGUGAGUGAAGAAGGUCUUCGGAUCGUAAAGCUCUGUUGAUGGGACGAACGUGCCUAAUGCGAAU